CUAUUACUCCCUCCGUUUGGAAAUACUUGUCUUCAAACUAGAUAAAAGUGGAUGUAUCUAGAUGUAUUUUAGUUGUAGAUGCAUCUUUUUUUAUCCAUUUUGAUGACAAGUAUUUUCGAACGGAGGGAGUACAAC
rfam:Triticum aestivum genome assembly, contig: Triticum_aestivum_CS42_TGACv1_scaffold_130761_2BL